UACAUUUUUCUUGCGGGAGGUCUCUUUCUGUGGUUCAUUGCGUUCCAGCGCAGGUAACGGAAGACGGUGAAAAUCCGUCGCGGACGCGCCGCUGUAACCGGUAGACGAUGGACCGGACACUGGCUGCCCAGGCAGCCGGGAAGUCCCCAUCACAUGUCGCACCGGAAGCCAGAAGACGACCUGAUGCUGCCGUAUUCC
rnacentral:ncRNA from 2 species